AGCCCCGUGGGGUAGACCCGUUAGGGCGGGGCCAAAUGGUCAAUCCUGGCAGGCUCUGGACCUGCUGACGGCGGUUCGAAUCCGCCCGGGGCUACCA
rnacentral:tRNA from 1 species